rnacentral:rRNA from 1 species
UACGUAGGGUGCAGGCGUUAAUCGGAAUUACUGGGCGUAAAGCGUGCGCAGGCGGUUUGCUAAGACAGGUGUGAAAUCCCCGGGCUUAACCUGGGAACUGCGCUUGUUACUGGCAGGCUUGAGUGUGGCAGAGGGGGGUGGAAUUCCACGUGUAGCAGUGAAAUGCGUAGAGAUGCGGAGGAACACCGAUGGCGAAGGCAGCCCCCUGGGCUGACACUGACGCUCAGGCACGAAAGCGUGGGGAGCAAACAGG